rnacentral:rRNA from 1 species
UAGGGAAUAUUGGACAAUGGGGGAAACCCUGAUCCAGCAAUGCCGCGUGAGUGAUGAAGGCCUUAGGGUUGUAAAGCUCUUUUACCCGGGAUGAUAAUGACAGUACCGGGAGAAUAAGCUCCGGCUAACUCCGUGCCAGCAGCCGCGGUAAUACGGAGGGAGCUAGCGUUGUUCGGAAUUACUGGGCGUAAAGCGCACGUAGGCGGCUAUUCAAGUCAGAGGUGAAAGCCCGGGGCUCAACCCCGGAACUGCCUUUGAAACUAGAUAGCUUGAAUCCAGGAGAGGUGAGUGGAAUUCCGAGUGUAGAGGUGAAAUUCGUAGAUAUUCGGAAGAACACCAGUGGCGACGGCGGCUCACUGGACUGGUAUUGACGCUGAGGUGCGAAAGCGUGGGGAGCAAACAGG